rnacentral:rRNA from 1 species
UACGUAGGGUGCGAGCGUUAAUCGGAAUUACUGGGCGUAAAGCGUGCGCAGGCGGCGCCGCAAGUCAGGCGUGAAAUCCCCGAGCUUAACUUGGGAAUGGCGCUUGAAACUACGGUGCUGGAGUGUGGCAGAGGGAGGUGGAAUUCCACGUGUAGCGGUGAAAUGCGCAGAUAUCAGGAGGAACACCGGUGGCGAAGGCGGAUCUCUGGGCCUUACCUGACGCUGAGGCGCGAAAGCUAGGGGAGCGAACAGG